UACGUAGGGGGCUAGCGUUGUCCGGAAUCAUUGGGCGUAAAGAGCGUGUAGGCGGCUCGGUAAGUCCGCUCUGAAAGCCCGGGGCUCAACCCCGGGAGGCGGGCGGAUACUGUCGGGCUAGAGUCCGGAAGAGGCGAGUGGAAUUCCCGGUGUAGCGGUGAAAUGCGCAGAUAUCGGGAGGAACACCAGUGGCGAAGGCGGUUGCCUGGAGCUUUGCUGACGCUGAUGCGCGAAAGCGUGGGGAGCGAACAGG
rnacentral:rRNA from 1 species